UAAACAAGAAGUACAUGUCGGAUUAAUUAAACAAAUUGUAUAUUAGUGAUAGUAAAAAUGACAAAAGCAUAUUUUAAAGGAGAAUAAUUUAUCUCAUUUUUAUUCUUAAAAUAACUACAACAUUUGACGAUUGUUUAAUAUGCUAUCUACAACAUAUUUUGUUGUUUAGUAUGCAGCUAUCUACGGAAAGAACGUUAUCUACCAAUGUAUGUCAUACUACUAAUAUUUUUUUUAGGAAUGUGAAACAAAUACUAAUUUAGUUGAUAGUUGAUUUUCUAACUUAUAACAAGUCAGUUAGUGUUGUUUUUUAAAAUUUAAAAUGAGUUAUUUAACCGUAAGUUAUUUUUACUGGCACAUCCUUGGGAAUAAAGAUGUGUGCGCACAAUUUUUAAGGGAACGAGAACUACGUAUAAACAAGAUUACAGAAAACGGGACUGAAUCACAAACCAUCAAAAUGAUUUGGAAACGUGUUAAAAACAAGUAUGGCAUUAAAUCAUGCAGAGCUACUGACUUAUUCAAAUAUCAACAUCAAGAUGAUAAUCGAUUCUUGAUUUGAUAAAAAUAUACACAUAUAUUUCCAAAUUAUAAUCCAAAAUUCAACUUAAACACCAAUUUGAACAUUGAUGUGGUUGAACAAUUAAUUUUUCAUUAUGUAGAUAGAUAUUAUCAAUGGUAGCUGAGCAGAACAUUGAUGAUGCAGCUACUUGUGACCAGCUACCCGGAGCUGCACCAAUAUCUAUUACACAUUGGCCUGGUUUCAAUAUAGAAAAUCUAUCAUCCAUUUGCAAUAGUUUGAAUGCACUACGACACCUGUAUUGAAAAUGUAUGCCACAUUAAAUUGUUUUUGCUCAGCAUUAUGUUAAUGAUAAUUACAUUAAUUUAUUAUGUGUAAUUCAAUAUAUUACACGAUUAAAACAUAAAUAAAUACAUUUCAUCUACAA